UAGGGAAUCUUCCGCAAUGGACGAAAGUCUGACGGAGCAACGCCGCGUGAGUGAAGAAGGAUUUCGGUUCGUAAAACUCUGUUGUUAGGGAAGAAAAAAUGUAUAGUAACUAUAUACAAAAGAGACGGUACCUAACCAGAAAGCCACGGCUAACUACGUGCCAGCAGCCGCGGUAAUACGUAGGUGGCAAGCGUUGUCCGGAAUUAUUGGGCGUAAAGCGCGCGCAGGUGGUUUAGAAAGUCUGAUGUGAAAGCCCACGGCUCAACCGUGGAGAGUCAUUGGAAACUAAUAAACUUGAGUGCAGUAGAGGAAAGUGGAAUUCCUAGUGUAGCGGUGAAAUGCUGAGAGAUUAGGAGGAACACCGGUGGCGAAAGCGGCUUUUUGGCCUGCAACUGACACUGAGGCGCGAAAGCGUGGGGAGCAAACAGG
rnacentral:rRNA from 1 species